AUUGAACGCUGGCGGCAGGCCUAACACAUGCAAGUCGAACGAGUGGCGGACGGGUGAGUAAUGUCUGGGAAACUGCCCGAUGGAGGGGGAUAACUACUGGAAACGGUAGCUAAUACCGCAUACCAUCGGAUGAGCCCAUAUGGGAUUAGCUAGUAGGUGGGGUAACGGCUCACCUAGGCGACGAUCCCUAGCUGGUCUGAGAGGAUGACCAGCCACACUGGAAAUGAGACACGGUCCAGACUCCUACGGGAGGCAGCAUUGGGGAAGAUUGCACAAUGGGCGCAAGCCUGAUGCAGCCAUGCCGCUUGUAUGAAGAAGGCCUUAGGGUUGUAAAGUACUUUCAGCGAGGAGGCGUUACUCGCAGAAGAAGCACCGGCUAACUCCGUGCCAGCAGCCGCGGUAAUUC
rnacentral:rRNA from 1 species